rnacentral:lncRNA from 1 species
CUCCUGUAUAUCCUGGCUCCUCCCUUACCUCUCUGGAACAGUCCUCGGAGCUCUCUUAGAGGCUACUUCCCAAGCUCGCUUAAGGUCCAAACAAACUUCGCAAGUUUUAGGUCGCGCGUUUUUCUUCAUUCAACACCUCCUCCAUUUUCGCCACCAUGGUGCUGUCUGAAAUCUUUUCUGUUGUCUCUGACUGAAAAUACUUAAGUUGACGUAACCGACUCUAACCCUUAGGCUACCUGUAUUGAAGGCGUUAACGCUUUUCAGCUCCCAGAAGGGCCUGGGCCUGGCGGUGUGGGAACUACAUUUCCCAGAACGCUCUGCGGCCAGAGCGCAGUGUGGCUGGACCAAUGAGGAGUCCGGAGAGGGACGUUUCUGUCUCCUACGCGCCACUUCGGGGCGGGACUUCUGGCCUAGCCCUCCUGGCGGUUAUUUCAUCUGUUCUUGGCUGAGUCCCCUGGAUCAGAGGUUCCAGAGCAGUCGUACCCGAGGUGGCGGGAGAGAAAGCGUGAUCCCCCUGCACAAAGGAGGGUCUCAGGGAUCGGUGACCUUUGAGGGUGUGGCCAUGACUUUGACCUCGAGUUCCUGGCCAAGAAGAUCUAGCCCAAAGGACCCUAUACCAGGAGGUGAUGCUGCAGAGCUGGAAGACCUGCUUUGUUGGGUUUCCACAAAAGGGCAGCUGACUGGCCCAGUUUGGCUGAGGAAGGGGAUCUCCACAGGCCUCACAGCAGGGACUGGUGAUGAGCUAUUCUCCAAGGAGAAAGGUGAGUCAGACAGGUGCUCAGAAGGCAUUUGUCAUCACUGUCGCCUGGCAUCUUCAAGGGGAAAACAGUCUUAGUUAAAGGUCAAAAGCUCAGUUGUGCCCAGGUGCCUGCAGGGUCCUUCCUUUCUCCUAAGGCGUGGGCCGAGAUCAUCCACUGGUACAGGAGUUGAUCGUAGAGGGUGCACAGUCACGUCACCAAAUGGCUUUGAUGGGUGGCCUGAGAAACUUUUCCUUCCCCUCUUCUCUUGUGGGUCAGCAUAUAAAGAAGUAACCACAGUUCCAUGGGCAAGGACCUAUGCUCCGCUCAUUUCCUCCUCCCAGCUUCUUAGUCCUUGGCAGUGCAGGAAAAUUCAGCCAACACAGUGAGCCUCAAUUGAGAAGAUGGCGCUUGACUUUGAGAUGUCCCCUGCCCUUCUUUUGUGAAAUAUUGAGGAGAGUAGAUGAUACAUGAUAUCUAAAUAAAUGUCUUUAAUUAACCA